UACGUAGGGUGCGAGCGUUGUCCGGAAUUAUUGGGCGUAAAGAGCUCGUAGGCGGUCUGUCGCGUCGAUCGUGAAAACUUGGGGGCUUAACCCUGAGCUUGCGGUCGAUACGGGCAUGACUGGAGUUCGGCAGGGGAGACUGGAAUUCCUGGUGUAGCGAUGAAAUGCGCAGAUAUCAGGAGGAACACCGGUGGCGAAGGCGGGUCUCGUGGGCCGAUGACUGACGCUGAGGAGCGAAAGCGUGGGGAGCGAACAGG
rnacentral:rRNA from 1 species